rnacentral:rRNA from 1 species
UCUCCAGACUCCUACGGGAGGCAGCAGUGAGGAAUAUUGGUCAAUGGUCGGGAGACUGAACCAGCCAAGCCGCGUGAGGGAUGAAGGUACAGAGUAUCGUAAACCUCUUUUGUCAGGGAACAAAGGCGGGGACGUGGCCCCGGAUGAGUGUACCUGAAGAAAAAGCAUCGGCUAACUCCGUGCCAGCAGCCGCGGGAAUACGGAGGAUGCGAGCGUUAUCCGGAUUUAUUGGGUUUAAAGGGUGCGCAGGCGGUCUGUUAAGUCAGCGGUAAAAGCCCGGGGCUCAACCCCGGCCCACCGUUGAAACUGGCAGUCUCGAGUUGGAGAGAAGUAUGCGGAAUGCGUGGUGUAGCGGUGAAAUGCAUAGAUAUCACGCAGAACUCCGAUUGCGAAGGCAGCAUACCGGCGCCCAACUGACGCUGAAGCACGAAAGCGUGGGUAUCGAACAGGAUUAGAUCCCCUUGUA